UAAAUGGACAAGGAGAUGGGCUAGUAUCAGGCCCCACAUAAGAUAUGCUACUGAGGGGAUGGAGUUGCUGAUGAACCAAAGCCAAGCUGAUACUUGCAUCGGUACCUUGUAAUUCACCCAAAAAACUCUGCGAUGAUGUAGAGGCUUCAUUCAGAUUCAGUUGCCCACUCAAAUUACUUGACCUUUCAGGUAAAAUAUUCCGAUUAUGAGAUAAACGAGCAUUACUCUCCAGUUGCCUUCCCUGGAAAAAUGUACUAUGAGGAGCUGCCCUUUGUGCUACAGCAGGUUGAGUUGCUAAUUCCCUGCUUCGAGCAAUUUGGGAGCCAACGAGACUAUUCCCUGAUACAGCAACCAAGGUCCCAUUAACAUUACCAAGUUGUCUCCUCCUGUUAUUAAGCAGUUGAUUUAUUUGCCGUUGUAUUCUACGUCGGUCAAAAACCGUCGAUGCCCCAACCCCAGAAGCUGGAGAAGCAACUCGACCAUCUCGGGGAGAUUGAAAACCACCGGAUUCUUCAGCCAAAGGGGUAUCAGGUACGUACAUUUCAUUAAGGUCAAAUGUCUCCCUCACAUUGGCUACAGGGGGUGACCCAAUAGAAAAAUUGCUGCUUGUUCUAUUAAUAUCAGGGGUAGGAUUCAUAUUCUGUGGGUUUGAAGAAGCAAGUGCAGUUGGCCGACAGCUUUCACAGUACCAGUUACCUUCAGGUACUUCAUGUCCAAGACCAACACAAUAAGUAUGUGCAGGUGAAUCACAGAGAUCACAUAGCAGCAUAAGAGCAUCAUCCCCACCUUGCUGACACUCUGUACAUAAUACAUUUUCGUAUGGAUCAAUGUAACCCCUAAGCUCCUCUUCAGAUGGUUGAUAGACCUAUAAACACAAUUAUAAACAUUUGAUUGCAGUUAGAAAUUCUGGUAUUUUUGUGUUUCAAACCUAACAUCUUAUUUUCAUAAUCAUCAAACCUAACAUCUUAACUAAAUGAAUAUAUAGGUUUACCACAGGAAAAAAGGACUAUACCUGAUCACGCUCAGGGACCUGAAAAGCCACAGUCCUCAAUUCAAAGCUAGUGUCUGACCUUGCAGGCUUACUAAUCAUUACAAACCUUUGCUUGCACAGUGGACAGCGGGAUUCCACUUUGGACCACUCCAUGAUGCAAGCAAAACAAAAGUAAUGACUGCAGCAAUUCAAUGUCCCUCUAACUGUCCUCUUACCUUCUUCCGACAAACAUAUUCCACAAAUCUGCUUUCCUACUUCAGUCUUCAAAUCCACUUUCUCUUUAUCCUUUCUUCCUGGAUAUUUUCUUUGUAGACGCGGAGCUUCCUCUUUCGGUAAAUUUUUCAAGGAAGCUGAGCCCCUCCAAGCUGUAACAAGGCCCCUGCAAAAUCGGCUAGCCUCUCUGACUUGUUCCCUCUCUUCUUCAGAGAUGGUAAACUCACGGUGAGAUGAUCCAGAACUCUCAACAAAAUCUGAAUCCGAAUCUACUCUUAGUCUCUUUCUUUUUCUCCUCUGACCUGCGUUCUUUUUAUUCGUUUCUGCCAAAACUGGAUCGACGUCUAUGAACUUCUCAUCAUUUUCAGAUCUUGCUUUCCUUUUCAAUCGGCGUCUGUUCUGCGGUUUCUUUCUCGUGAUCCUUUUCAAUUCUUUAUGAUUUCUAGUUCUCUUCUGCUCUUUGGCAGUGCUAUUACGCAAUUGUGGCUUGCUUGAAUACUUCAUCCCUUUCAAUACUGGAAACUCUUCUUCAUCUUCUUCUUCGUCCAAGCCAUCUGGAGUGAAUUCCUCAUCAUCCUCAUCAUCCUCAUCCUCUUCAUCAUGAUCUUUGGCAGUGCCCUUACGCAACCGUGACUUGCUCAAAUUCUUCAUCCCGUUCAUUACUGGCAAAUCCUCAUCUGCAUCCAAGCCAUCUGGUGUGAAUUCCUCAUCAUCAUCAUCGUCAUCUUCUCUAUAUGAAACUCUCUUUCUCUUUCUAGGCCUUACAGUGCCUUUUCUGUUUCUCCUUGGUUCUCCUGAUCGAACAACCUUUUUAAUCGGCUUCGUCUUCAAUUCCUCGACCUCCUCAUCUUCAAAUUCACCUAAGCUCUCAUCUGACUCAUCUCCGACAAAAGAAGAACAUCCAUCUUCUGACUCAUCAACUGUGUAAUCCUCAUCUGACUCAUCUGAAGCUCUAUACAUGGAUCCAGCCCUUUCUCUACUACAAGCUCAUGUUGAUUCCUUCCUACUUUAAGGUCUCCCAACGGAUGCCCAAAUAAAGAUUACAAAUCUGUCCAUUUGCAGUUACAAAAUUACCAAAAUUAGUAUCAGAACUCUCAAAAUCUUAACAUUCUAAUAUAGGCUUAUCCAAAGUCCAAACAAAAUCUUAACAUUCUAAUAUAGGCUUAUCCAAAUAAGGCAUCAAAUCAACCAAAAAUUAAACAAUUGCACACCUUAAAAACUCAAUUUUACUCAGAAAUAUACCAGAAAUAGGAAGAAUUGAUCUAACUAAAUACAGAAAUGAAACCCCAAAAAUCAAAACCUGAACCCUAGAUCAAGAUAUUAGCACUAAGCCCCAAUAAUUCAGCUAACUAAAUAAACAUAAUUCCCAACAAAAACACAAUUAACACCAAAUAUGGAUGAAAUUAGUUAAUAUUAAAAUCCAAUCCCAAUAAUACCAAUUUCCAAAAUUCAGAUGGAACAGUAAAAAAAUCACAGCAAUCAACAGAUUACCAAAUAAGUGAAACAUAUCGAGAUUGAUUGAAUUAUUCAGAAGAAAAAAGGAAAAAAAGAUAGUCUAUGGCAAGUACUUGAGAAAGGAAAAGGAGGCAAAAUCGACAAAACCCAGAAAAAAAGAUUUAUAAUUAGGUGUAUUUUAUCCGUAUAUAUAAAGGCAAUUUCAAUUUUUUUAAAUAAAAGAAAAAAUCAAGCGGUGGGAUUUAAAGUUGAAGAAAUGAGAAGAGGGUCACCAAAGAAUCUGUAUUUACUUUUUUCUUCUUUUUGUUUUUCUACAAAUGAAUGUGCUUUUUUAAAAACAGUGAAAUUAUUGCAAUUUACAAAUGGAAGCAUCUAUUAUUAGGAGGUUUCGUUGUUGCCCCUGGCCCUGGGUACUUUUAUAAAAUGCAACUUGGCUGUUAUGCUAUGUCUGAAAUUCCAUGUUUACCCUUUGUGGUUUUAAAGAGCAGACUCAACUGCAAUUUUGACAUUGGGCUCACCAAGUUGGAUUUCGGGCUUGGACCAUACGAGGCUUUGUAAUGUUUUGAUCACAACUUGAUUUCACACACAUCCACCAAAUAGUCGCUUAUCUAAUCUCUUAAUGUAACAAUCGCCGAUGUGUAUAUAUAUAUAUAUACUGGUUAGAAAAGGUAAAUAUUGAAUCUGGACGGCUAUUUGGAUAACAAUCCCCCACGACUAACUAAUGACUAAUUCAGUUUUUUUUUAAAAACAAUCAUCGACAGAUAGAAACAAGCAGACAGAUCUGGCAGUCAAAACAUCCGGAUUCCACAAGAUUUAGCAUGUUCAUAGAAUUAGCACUCAAAUAUUCAUUCAUAGUCAAAUAGAGGACAAUAGAAAAUAAGCAAACGCAUCUAACAAUAGCAGAACAGUAGUAGACGACCAAAUAAAGGUCUAAAAUGAGGAAUGGAUAUCAGCUACUCAACAAUCGACAACAGCAGCAAAUUGCAGAUUCAUUCUAGAUUGCAAACCCAGAAACAAAUGGAGAACUCUCUCAAAUCAGCCAAAAAAAAAUCCAGCCCUUUGAAUCACUUCCAAUGUAAAAUCCAUUGAAAUCCACUGUUUUUCUUUUUGUUUACAGAUUUCUUUCUUAAUUUUCGAAUUUCGGAUCUGUUUUUCAGCUAUUUCGUGUGUGUUUGUGAGAAUAUCAGAUGAUAGAUUUCGUGUGUGUAUCCAGAUGAUAGAAUAGGCUUGUGUGAUGUAGAGAAAAAGAAAGAGAGGGGCGGCGGCUGACUUGAGAGGAUGAAGGUAUUAGGGGGGCUAGGGUUUUAUUUGUGUAAAAGAGGGAGGGGUCCGCUCU
rnacentral:lncRNA from 1 species